GAAGACAUUGUUAAGGGGAAGCAACCAAAUGGACCAGGAGGAGAGUGCUAGCCCUGGCUAAAUAUUACUGAUUACACAACUCUCAGUAAAAAGGGGAAAGAAGUCCCGCUGACGGUUUCUUGACCGUGAAAACAAGAGGAAAAUGUAAGUAGAGGGACAGGGGCUUCGGAAAUGGGAGUGAAAUACACGAGAACUUGCAGAAGGAGAUGUUAUAAGGGUGAAAGCUAUUUUUACUGCAGUGGCUGUUUGGAUGCAACAUAAUUUUGUGAAAGGCAUACCCAGAAGUCUCUUUGAGAUGUCUUUGGAAACUGCAAACUCAAAUAAAUCCCUAUGUUCAGCUCCAGUCAUAAACUUUGGAUAACAAAAGAAAGCAACCUCGAUUAAGUGCAGUUUUUGGAGCCACCACAAGUCACUUGUAUGAGCUUCCCUGACCAGACAGUGACAAAAAGAGGACGAGUAUUUUGGAUGCAACUGGAAACACUGGUUAUAUACCAAGACUUUGACUGGAAUGUCAUAUUUAAGGGAGGCAUGCAUAAACUCAGAUGUGACCAGACAGCUUUAAGGAACUAAGAUUGAUUUUAUGGGGCCAAUAAAAGCCCCUUGGAAAAACAGCCUGGUACCUUGCUUACAGGUUCCCGGCAACCUUACCAGCUUGAACCAUGAAGUCAAAUCCUUCAGGGAAGGGGAGAGUGGGUCUCGUCUGGGCACCUUUUGGACUGAGUGCAUCACCCGUAUCCUGCCAGGUGCUGAGGAGAAGAGUCAACCAAAUCAACAAGUUUGCUGCCCUCAUGGAGGAGGGAAAUAAGGAAAUGAGGAAAGACCUCACAGAAUAUCAGGAAUGUCGAGGGCAUCAAAGAAAAACAAUGCAAAAGAAAGGAAUGGGGGUGACUGGUGGGUGGACUCAAAAAGGAGUGGAGACUGUGCGGUUAAGUCUCCACGCAGGGAAGACGUCUCUGUGAUGGGGACAUUUGAUUCGAGGACAGAUGAUGUGAAAAUGUGAGUCAUGUGGAGAUCCGGGACAAAACUGUCCAGUCAGAGGGGACAGCAGAUGAGCUCGAAAUCUAACACAACCUUGAAAGAUCUAAACAUUGUUGUUGGUUUUUAGAGGUACUCUAUUUUGGCCCCUCCCUGGCAAUUAUUUUUUCACUGCCCUUUUUCUGUAUCAAAUCAGCGGAGGGCACAAAGGAACCGGCUGGCGGGGCUUCUCUGCUGCGACAGGAGAUAAUGUGGGCAAAACCCUGUUUGUUCUCGUGGGCAGUUUUUUCUGAGGAAACUAAUGAGAGGCAGUGUCUUCUGAAGCAGGCUUCCUCAACCCAUUGGGCUCCUCCCCCAUGAAACCUAGGCCCAGGCAGCUGCGGGAUGUACUGCUUUUUGAACGAUGGAGAGCCAAGUAAUCAGGCUGCUGUACAGUUUAACUCUAUUGGUUAGAUACGGCAUUAGCUUUCACAUAUAAACAGCUCCUGUAUGGCACAUUUCCCAAUAAAAUACAGAAUAAAGGACCAUGGGUCACAGUGACCUUAUAUUCUUAAUCAAAAAUGCUCCUACCUCCGGACAGCUGGGCCCCUAUUCUUGGCCAUGUACUAAAGGUGGCUAACCCUCACCUUUUGCAUUAGAUCCCAUGCCCUUUGGACAUUGCUUUGGAAAGUCUCAUCUUCUAAUCACAACCUCCAGUUUUGUCUCUCUCCUGCUAAUAGCACAAAAUCAUGCUAUCACUUCUCCCAUCAUUUGAAAACUCUCUCUUGGCCUCAUAUCACUCUCCAGCCAUGCCUUCAUUUCUGGGUCCCCUUUCUACCAAAAUUCCUUAAAAUAACUGCUAUAUUUGCUGUCUUCUACAUCACACUUUAUCUCUCUACUCCUCUCUCAUCAGGCUUCCAGCUCCACCACUCUAGGACGCUGCUCUUGUCAAGGCCCCCACGAUCCACCGCGCUGACAUCAAGGGGGAGUCCUUGCCCUCAGCUUCUGGUGGAUCACUUUCUGCUCCUGGAGGCAGUUGGCUUCCGACACCUCAUUCUUGGUUUUUCUCCUACUCUGCUUGACACUCUUUCUCAACGUCUGUUGGUGUCUCCUCAUUGCUCUGACUCCUAAACAUUAGAUGUCCCAGUGUUCAUUUUCAGACCUUUUCUUCUCUUUCUACACUUGUUCCCUUUAUAAUCUCAUUCCAUCUCUACACUUAUAUCUCCCACAUUUAUAUUUCCAGCCUACACCUCUUCCUCAGAAGCCAGUGUCCUGUGUGUAGCUACCUAGACAAGAGCUCAUGGGCACCUCAAGCGUCAUCUGUCCCCACGUCUUUGCUGCUGUCACCCUGUCCCACUUCACUAUUGUUUCUCAAAUAAGUGUGGUAGCUUCCUAAUUAGUCUUCCUGUUUCUACCCUUGUCUCUCUACAGUCUAUUCUUGAAAUAGUAGUUGGAGUGAUACUUUUAAUACAUGCAGAUCAUAUCCUGCCUGUGCUUAAAACCCCAACUUUCCUCCAUCUUGGAGUAAAAGUCCGAGUCCUCAUGUUGGUUGUCAAGGCUCCACCCUGGGGACACCUCCCCCUCUCCCGCUCCUUCUCUCCAGCCACAGUGGCUUCCUCACUAUUUGUCACUGGCCAGCUCCACUCCCCCUCCAGACCCUGUGCUUGGUGUUCCCUCUUAGACUGGAGUGAUGUUUUUUCAGAUCCACCUGACUCUGAGCUCCAUAAGCUGUCUGCUCAGAUGUCAAGUCGUGUGUGCGAAGCCGCCCCUGGCCACUCUGUUUAAAAUUGCAGCCCCGUUUCCCAGCUUUAUUUUCUUCUCAGCACCUGUAACCUUCUAAUGCGUAUAUAAGAUGUACGUGUCUGUAUAUCUUCCCUGCCCCACCCCUCUGGCAUGUAAAUUCUUGAGGUCAGGGAUUUCUGUUUUCUCGUCACUGUAUUUGCAGGCCCCAAAAGAACAUCCUGCAAGUGCAGGGGAUCAGUAAAUAUUUACAAAAUGAAAAAAAUUCAGGCUUUAUCUUGUAGUACAUGAUCAGACAAUGGGAUAAAAUAUUUGGAAUCAAGAAUUAAUCUAGCAGCCUUUCAAGAAACUUUUCAGGAAUCAAUUGCUUUUCUUCAUUUUAUGCUAAUGGUUUAUUAAGUUUUAAUUCCAAAUUGUAUUGUGAACACCAUUCUAUAAGUAGUGAUAAUUUCAGUAAACCUAUAUAAUACUGAAUGCCAAUAAAGGCAUAGUUUUCAUUGGAAGCACUGAUUAUGCUAGUAAUUUAUUGAAAUUCCAUUUGUACAUGUACUUAUGUUGAAACAAAUUAAAUACAAAAUUUUAAAUAAUGUUAUUUUUAUAUAAUAAUGUGUUACAUACAUAAUGAAGCAUUUAUAAUCUUUACUCUUUAUAAGUAUUUUUCAGUUAAAUACUUUCUAUGGAACAUAAAUUGAGCAGUCUGAGCGCUGCAGAAAUGAGAGAAUGUAAUAGAUGAGCUAAUAUUGUCCUCUAGUGGCCAAUGUGAGAAACGCACUAUUGGAAUCGGAUGCUCUCGGAGAGGUCUAUGCUUUUAUCCAGAUAAUGUCUAGGGAUUGGAUGUUUCCAAUAGAUUAUCUGCUUUUACAGUGUUGAGUUAAAAAUUUUUAUUUAGUAUUUAAAAUCUGAAUCAUAUAAAACACUUGAAUAAGCAAUGAACAAAAAAAAAGGACCAAUUAAUUUUUUAGAAAAAGUGUUCACAUUUCAUUAGCAGUCAAAACAUACAAAUUAAGAAAAAAAAGACAAAAUCGUCCCAACAUGGAUGGACCUUCAGGGUAUUAUGUUCGCAAAAUAAGUCAGACAGAGAAAAACAAACACUGUGUGAUCUCACUCAUAUGUGGAUGAUAAACACACAAACGGAAAAAGAGAACAGAU